rnacentral:lncRNA from 1 species
GUAAACACAAUCAACAGCGAAAGCUUGACGGCGGUUCCGUCGGGGGAUAGCUCAGGCGUGAGAAUUAGUACGUGUUCACAAGGUUAACAAUGGAGGAAUAUAUGGUCUAGUGUAUUGAGAGAAUUAAAAUCUCAGUUGUGUGUAUGGGAGAAUAUGAAUAAUCAAUAUAUGAGAGAACGUACCUCCAUACGAUGGCUUCCUUGCUAAGUUAUAUUACUUUUGCUUGGAUUAUUGUGCCACCCACUACUACCUGACACCCCCUCUGAUCUGAUGGACCCUGCCGACCAUAUCGGGUUUAUAUACUGCUUUUGGCCACUGUUUUCUCCCGCCAGCCGGUUAUGAUCCCAUCCACAUUAAUGCAUGGCAGGAGGAUUGGUCAACUGUCAUGCUUUUUCAUCAUCACAAGUCAAAGUAACAGAUAUUAAAAUAUCUAAUGGGUCGAUCCACUGGUCUGACCCGGUCCAAUAGAAUUAAAUAAAGUUGACACAAUAAAUGGGCUCAAAGAGUCCCAUGGCUUAAUAAUAAAAGCCCAAUAGAUUAUACUGAUAAAUGGGC